rnacentral:rRNA from 1 species
UACGGAGGGUGCAAGCGUUAUCCGGAUUUACUGGGUUUAAAGGGUGCGUAGGCGGGCUUUUAAGUCAGUGGUGAAAACUUCGAGCUUAACUCGAAAACUGCCAUUGAUACUAUUAGUCUUGAAUUUAGUUGAGGUUGGCGGAAUGUGUCGUGUAGCGGUGAAAUGUUUAGAUAUGACACAGAACACCGAUUGCGAAGGCAGCUGGCUAAACUAAAAUUGACGCUGAGGCACGAAAGUGUGGGGAUCAAACAGG